UUUACUCUGAUUUCUAUAAAUAUAUCAUUUCCCACUGUUAGAGUAAUUAUGACACCACCAUAAUAUAUGAAAACUUGGGACUGAUAGAAACCCUAAGGGCUAGGCACUCAACAGUGCCACUUUCUCCAUAGACACAUAGGUAUUUUUCUAUAUUACUUUCUUGAAUUUCUGAAAGUUUAUAAACUAGGGGUGCCUGUGUGCCUCCGUCAGUUAAGUGUGGGACUCUUGAUCUCAACUCAGGUCAUGAUCUCAGGGUUCGUGGGAUAGAGUCCCGCAUGGGACUCUGUGCUGACAGCGCUGAGCCUGCUUGGGAUUCUCUCUCCCUCUGUCUCUCUCUCUCUCUCUCUCUCUCUCUCAAUAAAAGAAAAUAUACAUUAAAAAAAAGUUUAUAAA